AGUUUCGCACCCUCAUGAGAGCUUGCAGUUAACAUACGAGAACAUAGAGAAAGGAAAGAAACUGAUUGAGAAAUUAGUUCAAGAAUCCGAAGAAAUGGCUAAUCCUAGGACCUUUACUUGAUUCUUUGCAUUGGCGGAUCCUGAAGGUGCACAGCAACCUUGGAAAUGUAUCAGUGUUGGUAGUUGGAUAUUUGGAAACAGCUGUUGCAAGAAGAGAAACAUCCGAGUGAAUAUUGAAACUUUUCACUUUUGCUUUCAAGAAGCAUUUUGUUAUUAUAUUUUUUAUUUUUUUUUUUAGCUUUUGUUUGUUUUUUUUCUUUAUUAGUUUGGCUGAUAGAAACCUGUGGCACUUCCUGGCGUUACUUUUCACUGUUUUUUUUGUUUUUUUGUUUUUUUUUUGUUUUUUUUUUCAACAUUUGUUAUCUUUUCUUUUUUGUAUCCAUUCAAGCAGAAUUGAUAUAAUGAGGGUAACAGGGUUAACAAUAUUGUAAACAAGUUCAAUUCCUACCAUGUUUUGAGUUUUUGGAACAUCAGAAUAAAUUGAAUAGUUUGAGGAGGACCUUAGUGUGAGGUUUGAUGAUGAUGAUGGCCAGGACAUUUUCCCAUGGUAAUUGGACUUGCAGAGCAAUAAAGAAAAGCUUUGAGGGGUUUUAUUGUUUGCAGUUUUCAAAGUAAGCUAAACAGCAAAUGCUGUGUGUGUGUGUGUAUAGGAAAGCCUUUUACUUAAGCAGCUGGCCAUUUUUGGUUGAGGAGUGAUUAAGAUUCUUCAAAGUUGUUAGGCCUGUUAAUCUCAUUGGUUACAGUUUUGAUAACCCAGAGCCUGUCCAAUGCAUGGAAGUACCUUAGUUUUCAUAUCAUGGCAACCCUAUAGAGUGGGUAAGGUUUUUUUUUGUUUUUUUUUUUGCUCUAAUGGGACUAAUUAAAUUGAUACUGUUAAUAUUGUUACUCCUGCAAGUUAAAUGCCAUCGGGGAAAAAAAAACUGAAGUAGGGAGGAAAUUCAAUUGGAGGAGUGAAGUGGUUUGAGGGAGGGAUUAGACAAUGUGGGUGAUGAGUCUUUGCUAAAUUUGCUUUAUAGCCAAAUUGUUGUAGGUCUGGGAACUUUUUUAACCAAUUACCCUAAAAUAUAUCUAUUUAUGCCAAUGUUACCCACUUUAUUUGAAA